rnacentral:rRNA from 1 species
UUGCCUACGGGACGCAGCAGUGGGGAAUAUUGGACAAUGGGGGGAACCCUGAUCCAGCGACGCCGCGUGAGUGAAGAAGUAUUUCGGUAUGUAAAGCUCUAUCAGCAGGGAAGAAACAGGACAGUACCUGACUAAGAAGCCCCGGCUAACUACGUGCCAGCAGCCGCGGUAAUACGUAGGGGGCAAGCGUUAUCCGGAUUCACUGGGCGUAAAGGGAGCGCAGGCGGCAUGGCAAGUCUGAUGUGAAAACCCGGGGCCCAACCCCGGGAGUGCAUUGGAAACUGCCAGGCUGGAGUGUCGGAGGG